rnacentral:rRNA from 1 species
AAUAGAUACCCCGGUAGUCCACCCCGUAAACGUUGGGAACUAGUUGUGGGGUCCUUUCCACGGAUUCCGUGACGCAGCUAACGCAUUAAGUUCCCCGCCUGGGGAGUACGGCCGCAAGGCUAAAACUCAAAGGAAUUGACGGGGACCCGCACAAGCGGCGGAGCAUGCGGAUUAAUUCGAUGCAACGCGAAGAACCUUACCAAGGCUUGACAUACACCAGAACACCCUGGAAACAGGGGACUCUUUGGACACUGGUGAACAGGUGGUGCAUGGUUGUCGUCAGCUCGUGUCGUGAGAUGUUGGGUUAAGUCCCGCAACGAGCGCAACCCUCGUUCUAUGUUGCCAGCACGUAAUGGUGGGAACUCAUGGGAUACUGCCGGGGUCAACUCGGAGGAAGGUGGGGAUGACGUCAAAUCAUCAUGCCCCUUAUGUCUUGGGCUUCACGCAUGCUACAAUGGCCGGUACAAUGGGCGUGCGAUACCGUAACGGUGGUAGCGAAGUCCCAAAAACGACCGGUCCCGACGUUCGGUACGUUGUAGGUCGUGCAACUCGACCGUCCAUGGUAAC